CAACCUGAUUCACGUAGACCAGUGUCUGUAGAUUGUCCCUGUGCGUCAUCUGGGGAAUGAUGUGUCUUGGGCCUGAAUCCUAGGCCCUUCGCCUCACAUCAGCUGUCCUUGUAGGAACAGCAAGCAGCCCACUGAGCUGCUCCUGGCUGCAGUGGCACGCACCCUUAUACAAACCACAGACAGCUAGCUCCCUGUUUUCCAGUUGAGACAUUGAAGGUUUAUGGGGUGAAGAUGACUCAGAAAUGCCAAACAGAGACAGUCCAUGCUCUGUCUGGCUGUCUUUCCUACUCAGGGCUGCCAGGGCCAGACAGGCGUGAAGAUUGUUUUGCAGUCGUAGGAAGGUGCCUCAAGCCCUGGGCCAGGGACCUCUGGAACAAGGCCACCUCAGUGGCAGUUGGCUUUCCCAGACAUGCAGAGAGACAUUCUUCUCCUCCAGCGUAAGCCUUAACCUUCCUCUGUCACUCUGUGCCCUCACCUCCCUGCUCUGCCCAUAUUUCACACCUAUCUGUGUAAUCUCCAGCAAAAAUGACUUAUAGGUCCAUCACAGUUUACUCUUCAAAAGUAUUUUCACACUUAUGUAUUUGAUCCUGGCCAUCCCACCAGAUAGCUGCUUUAUUUUCCCACUCUAAUGGGGAGGAAAAGGAAUAUAGAGCCAAACAAGGUCUCUUCCCCAUCAUUUCCUGAAAAAUCCCAUGCUUUGCUGGACUUUAUGGCCUUACUUUUUUAGAAAACCCUUCUGUGGUGUGGUGGUAUAGGCCUUUAAUUCCAGCACCCUGGAGGCAAAGAAAGGUGGCUCUCAGUGAAUUGGAGGCCAGUCUGGUCUGUAGAGCAAAUUCUAGGUUCCACAGUGAGACCCUGUCUCCUCAAAACAAACAAACAAACAAAAAAAAAAAAAAACCAAGAAAGAAAGAAAAACUCCUAAUUCCUCCCCUAGAUCUUCCGUCCUUUAAGGCAUGACCAGAGCUCAUACCUAGAUGCCCACCCCAAGGAUGCCAACCCAUGUGACAUUCUGUGAAGUUCUGAGCAUCCUCUAACUUCUCCAGCCUCUGGCACCUUGAUGGUUGCCAUGCUAGGGCUAAGUGGGCUGCCUUCAGCUUGGAGGCUGGACUUUGUGUACACCUAAGGCAAUGACCUUGAGAAGAAAGCCCAUUGCUCAGGCCCUCAGGGUGACUUGGACAAUACUUUCCACAGAGCAAGUGGCACAGAGCCUGACUCCGUCAGCCCUCUUGCUGAUUCCACUCUUCCUGCCACAUGCUUUGGUUUUCUUAGGCCUUUCUCCUGGGGUGGGAUGCUGGGGAGCACCAUCUUCUUACUACACUACAAACAUGUUCUGAGGUCUGAGGAUGCAAUUGAGGAUCAAAAUGACUAAUCAAAUCUUAAGCACCAAAUAGAUUCGCAGCUUUUACUGCCAGGAACCAUCCUCCUCUCAAUCCCCAGAUGCUGGCUGUUUCUGGGUGAGCCUCCUCCUAGCCUUGCCUGUUCCUUGCUCCUGUCUUACACCCACAGGCCUGGAACUGCACUAAACGAAUGUUUCAUCCCCCCUGCACGGAGCUGCCAGGAACCUUUCCUUUCCUAUGCUCGGUGGUAAUCCGUGCUGUGGCCACAGCUUCUUACAGCAUGCCCGGCAUGGCACUCAGGGCUUUACAUAUGUCUUCUCAUCAAAUCUUCAAAGCAGCCGGUUGAGGCAGGUUCUUUAGGAUCCUGUUUUAAAACAGCACACUGAAACUUGGUGGGAUCAGCUUGCUGCUGGAAUAAACUGUAUCUGCUACUAGGGGAGAAUUUAACCUAGAAAAAUCUACAGGACCCACAUCUGAUCUCUUCACUAUUCUCCUUUACCCGGAGAGUUAAUGGUCCUCCUCGGUCAUUGCAUUGUGAGCUUAAGGCCCAGGAAUGUGUCUUAAUCAUCUGAGUUGCCCAUCCUCUGGAUGAGAAUCUAUAGACAACCCUUCCAAGCUUAAUUAGUUAUGGCUGUGUGGCACUGGGCAAGUCACUCAAAUUCUCAGAGCAGGGCUAUGCAUCCGUGGCUGACUGGCAGAGAGGACCGGGUGACGAACCAUAACCUGAAAGCUGAGAAAUGCUGGUAAGAUGCCGGUCCCUGCACCCUGCCACCCCUUCUCUGCCCAAGUUACCGUCCAAAUGUAGCUGUGUCUGUCGGGAGACUGAAGGUACAAGAGCCCCCGAGUGCCAACAAGAGUGCCAAGAGAGGCAUCCUCCUCCCGUCCAUCUGGUUCAGCCAGGGUUUCUCAGAGCUGUGUAGCCCCAGAGCCCCUGACCCUUCUUUUAUAUACAGCCACGGGUUCUACUCUGAUUUAUUACCCCAGGGCUCCUGGCAGGGCAGCCCUCAUAAAUCCUACCCUGUGAGACCAAGCUAGGUAGGUGAGGGACCCAGAUGCAAAGCAGAGUGGCUGGGGGGUUUGGAGUGGGGGUGGAGCAUGGCUGAACCGAGUGACACUGGAGGCCCUGUUUGGCCUGGCUGAUGAGAACUGUGCUGCUCAAGCAUGGUCAGGGUACAGACAGCACAGAUCCUGGGCUUCCAAUCCCCCUGCCCUGAGCCCACGGCCUAUGCUCUUGAGGCUGUACCCUCUAUGGUACCCUUUGCACUCACCCUGGCUGGAUCCUCCUAGGCUCUGCCCCCAGUCUUUCAUCUUGAUCAUGGGUGAUUCCAUUUGGUUACUGCUUAGUGGAAAAAGGAACAUACCAUCUAACCUUUGGCAUCAGGGAGAGUGUGGGGUGUCCCCUCCUGGGGUUAGCAAUGGUGGAGGGAAGGGUAGCUCUCAAGGACUGGGGUGGGGGUGUCUCCAGGGCAGCUGGUUUCCAGCUUAUCCCCUCCUACUCCCUUAGAUCUCUCUCUACCUCCUUCCUUCCAUCCUGUACCCUCAGUCCCAGGCUGGCAAUGCCUGUUCUCCCUAAGGUGCCCUCUUUGCUGUUCUCCUUGCUUAUUUCAGGGGCCACUUCAAAUAGCCCAUCAGUUCCACGAGGUCUACCCUGACGGGUAUGGACCAUCUUCUGUUGUGACCUCUCAUCCUUUGAGAGGUAUGACCUCCAGCGUGUGACCUCCAUCCCUUUGCAGGCAACUUAUGUAAGUGCUCCUGCCUCUUGGCCACACUGGAGUUUUCCUCUUAUCAAAUGAAAAACAAAACAAAAAACUAGUGACUGGCGAUGAGCACCAGAGAGCCCUAGGUUCUACCAUGAACUUGCUGUGUGACAUUGAAGUUGGACCCCUCUCUUCCCUUCUCUGGGACCCCGUGAGGCAGCUGAGUGGCCCUCAGGGGCAGUCCUGGCUCAGACGAACCAGCAUUCUAAGUGUGUGUCAUGAGUGCAAGACCAGGACUCCAGCUCCGAUAGACCAGCAUGGAGGAGCAAUCUGCUGAAGAGGCCACAACGGAGUAACCGGAUAGGUGUAUCCUGCCCAAGCUGCAGGUUGUGUGGUCUCUGGAGGCGCUGGAGUGCAGAGACAUGGAAGGUUAACUGAAGGGGAUGCCUGCCUGUGCAGCUCUGGGGAAGCCACCAUCUGUGCUGGGCUGAGACCGAUUGAUGGUGUGGCUGCUUUGGGAUCGCGUGUGCUCUGUAAGAAAUCCUAAUAAACCCACUGGCUCACCA